rnacentral:rRNA from 1 species
UUUGAUUAUGGCUCAUAUUGAACGCUGGCGGCAGGCUUAACACAUGCAAGUUCAACGGUAACAUAAAGAAGCUUUGCUUCUUUGAUGACGAGUGGCGGACGGGUGAGUAAUGCUUGGGAAUCUAGCUUAUGGAGGGGGAUAACUACGGGAAACUGUAGCUAAUACCGCGUAGAAUCGAGAGAUGAAAGUGUGGGACCUUCGGGCCACAUGCCAUAGGAUGAGCCCAAGUGGGAUUAGGUAGUUUGGUGAGGUAAAGGCUCACCAAGCCGACGAUUCUCUAGCUGGUCUGAGAGGAUGACCAGCCACACUGGGACUGAGACACGGCCCAGACUCCUACGGGAGGCAGCAGUGGGGAAUAUUGCGCAAUGGGGGCAACCCUGACGCAGCCAUGCCGCGUGAAUGAAGAAGGCCUUCGGGUUUGUAAAGUUCUUUCGGUAGCGAGGAAGGCAUUUAGUUUAAUAAACUAGGUGAUUGACGUUAACUACAGAAGAAGCACCGGCUAACUCCGUGCCAGCAGCCGCGGUAAUACGGAGGGUGCGAGCGUUAAUCGGGAAUAACUGGGCGUAAAGAGCACGCAGGCGGUGACUUAAGUGAGGUGUGAAAGCCCCGGGCUUAACCUGGGAAUUGCAUUUCAUACUGGGUCGCUAGAGUACUUUAGGGAGGGGUAGAAUUCCACGUGUAGCGGUGAAAUGCGUAGAGAUGUGGAGGAAUACCGAAGGCGAAGGCAGCCCCUUGGGAAUGUACUGACGCUCAUGUGCGAAAGCGUGGGGAGCAAACAGGAUUAGAUACCCUGGUAGUCCACGCUGUAAACGAUGUCGAUUUGGGGGUUGAGCUUUGAGCUUGGCGCCCGUAGCUAACGUGAUAAAUCGACCGCCUGGGGAGUACGGCCGCAAGGUUAAAACUCAAAUGAAUUGACGGGGGCCCGCACAAGCGGUGGAGCAUGUGGUUUAAUUCGAUGCAACGCGAAGAACCUUACCUACUCUUGACAUCCAGAGAACUUUCCAGAGAUGGAUUGGUGCCUUCGGGAACUCUGAGACAGGUGCUGCAUGGCUGUCGUCAGCUCGUGUUGUGAAAUGUUGGGUUAAGUCCCGCAACGAGCGCAACCCUUAUCCUUUGUUGCCAGCGAUUAGGUCGGAAACUCAAAGGAGACUGCCGGUGAUAAACCGGAGGAAGGUGGGGAUGACGUCGAGUCAUCGUGGCCCUUACGAGUAGGGCUACGCACGUGCUACGAAUGGCGUAUACGGAGGAAGGCGAGAGUGCGAGCUGGAGCGAAAUCUCGCGAAAGUGACGUCUAAGUUCCGGAUUGGA